rnacentral:rRNA from 1 species
UGGCUCGAGGACGAACGCUGGCGGCGUGCCUAACACAUGCAAGUCGAGCGGAGUUGACAAGAGGAAGUUUCGGAUGGAAUCUUGUCAAUUAGCGGCGGACGGGUGAGUAACGCGUGAGCGACCAACCUUGCACAGGGGGAUAACGGACCGAAAGGUUCACUAAUACCGCAUGAGACCACGGUGUUGCAUGACACAGGGGUCAAAGGAGCAAUCCGGUGCAAGACGGGCUCGCGUCCGAUUAGGUAGUUGGAGGGGUAACGGCCCACCAAGCCUAUGAUCGGUAGCCGACCUGAGAGGGUGAUCGGCCACAUUGGAACUGAGAUACGGUCCAAACUCCUACGGGAGGCAGCAGUGGGGAAUAUUGGGCAAAUGGGGGAAACCCUGACCCAGCAACGCCGCGUGAAGGAAGAAGGUUUUCGGAUUGUAAACUUCUGUCCUUGGUGAAGAGAAGAAGACGGUAGCCAAGGAGGAAGCCCCGGCUAACUACGUGCCAGCCGCAGC